ACCAGUCCUAGCCCACAUUAUAUUAACCACAUACACACAAUAACAUUAUACUAAAAUCAAAUAAAACAUUUACCUUCACUAAAGUAUAGGAGAUAGAAAUUUUUAACUGGAGCUAUAGAGCUAGUACCGUAAGGGAAAGAUGAAAGAAACAACUUAUAGUACAAUAAAGCAAAGACUAAUCCUUUUACCUUUUGCAUAAUGAAUUAACUAGAAUCAACUUCGCAAAAAGAAUUUAAGCCAAGUACCCCGAAACCAGACGAGCUACUUAUGAGCUGCUGUUAGAGCUAAUCCGUCUAUGUAGCAAAAUAGUGGAAUGACUUAUAAGUAGAGGUGAAAAGCCUACCGAGCCUGGUGAUAGCUGGUUAUCCAGAUAAGAAUUUUAGUUCAACUUUAAAUUUACCCUAAGAACUCAUAAUCUAAAUGUAAAUUUAAUUGUUAAUCUAAAGAGGGACAGCUCUUUAGACACAGGAAAAAACCUUCAUUAGAGAGUAAAAUAUGUAUACAUUCCAUAGUUGGCUUAAAAGCAGCCAUCAAUUAAAAAAGCGUUCAAGCUUAACACAACAACCCAAACUUAAUCUAAAUAAUAAAAUUUAACUCCUAAUUUCACACUGGAUUAAUCUAUAAAUUACUAUAGAUGCAAUAAUGUUAAUAUGAGUAACAAGAAAACCUUUCUCCCUGCAUAAGCUUAUAUCAGCCCGAAUAAUUCACUGAUAGUUAACAAACUUAUAAUCUAACUCAAAAUUCUAAACUAUUAUUACCCAUAAUGUUAACCCAACACUGGUAUGCACUCAAGGGAAAGAUUAAAAAAAGUAAAAGGAACUCGGCAAACACGAACCCCGCCUGUUUACCAAAAACAUCACCUCUAGCAUUCCCAGUAUUAGAGGCACUGCCUGCCCAGUGACAUAUGUUCAACGGCCGCGGUAUCCUGACCGUGCAAAGGUAGCAUAAUCAUUUGUUCCUUAAAUAGGGACUUGCAUGAAUGGCCAAACGAGGGUUUACCUGUCUCUUACCUUUAAUCAGUGAAAUUGACCUUCCCGUGAAGAGGCGGGAAUAACCAAAUAAGACGAGAAGACCCUAUGGAGCUUAAAUUUAUUAGUCUAAGUAUCCUUACAUUAAAUCUACAAGAGAUAAAACUAUUACUAAUGGACUAAAAAUUUUGGUUGGGGUGACCUCGGAGUAUAACCUAACCUCCGAAUGAUCUUAAUCUAGACUUCUAACCCGUCUAAAUUUUAACUCAUUAAUUGACCCAAACUAUUGAUCAACGGAACAAGUUACCCUAGGGAUAACAGCGCAAUCCUACUCAAGAGUCCAUAUCGACAGUUAGGGUUUACGACCUCGAUGUUGGAUCAGGACAUCCAAAUGGUGCAGCAGCUAUUAAUGGUUCGUUUGUUCAACGAUUAAAGUCCUACGUGAUCUGAGUUCAGACCGGAGAAAUCCAGGUCGGUUUCUAUCUAUUAAAACAUUUCUCCCAGUACGAAAGGACAAGAGAAAUAGGGCCAAUAUCCAUAACAUGCCCUAAGACUAAAUAGAUGAAAUAAUAUCAAUCUAAUAAACUAUUUAUAUAUCAGCCCUAGAACAGGGUU
rnacentral:rRNA from 1 species